rnacentral:RNase_P_RNA from 1 species
AGAGUCGAUCGGACAGUCGCUGCCUGUUUUUGUUCCGCAACUUUUUGUUGUGUGAGCAGCAGGGGGAGGAAAGUCCGGGCUCCACAGGGCGGAGUGCCAGGUAACGCCUGGGAGGCGUGAGCCUACGGAAAGUGCCACAGAAAAUAACCGCCUAAGCNNCGUGGCUAGGUAAACCCCACUCGGAGCAAGACCAAAUAGGGUUCCAUCAGGCGUGGCCCGCGUCGGAACCGGGUAGGUUGCUAGAGGCGUCCAGUGAUGGCCGUCGUAGAGGAAUGACUGUCCUCGACAAAACCCNNCGGCUUACAGAUCGACUCUCCAC